GAGGGUAUUGCUCAUUGGUAGAGCACAUGCUUAACAUGCACGAGGUCCUGGGUUCAAUCCCCAGUACCUCUU
rnacentral:tRNA from 1 species